CCUACGGGGGGCAGCAGUGAGGAAUAUUGGUCAAUGGACGAGAGUCUGAACCAGCCAAGUAGCGUGAAGGAUGACUGCCCUAUGGGUUGUAAACUUCUUUUAUAUGGGAAUAAAACGUUCCACGUGUGGGAUUUUGUAUGUACCAUAUGAAUAAGGAUCGGCUAACUCCGUGCCAGCAGCCGCGGUAAUACGGAGGAUCCGAGCGUUAUCCGGAUUUAUUGGGUUUAAAGGGAGCGUAGGUGGAUUGUUAAGUCAGUUGUGAAAGUUUGCGGCACAACCGGGAAAUUGCAGUUGAAACUGGCAGUCUUGAGUACAGUAGAGGUGGGCGGAAUUCGUGGUGUAGCGGUGAAAUGCUUAGAUAUCACGAAGAACUCCGAUUGCGAAGGCAGUUCACUGGACUGCAACUGACACUGAGGCUCGAAAGUGUGGGUAUCAAACAGGAUUAGAUACCCCUGUAGUC
rnacentral:rRNA from 1 species